rnacentral:rRNA from 1 species
GACGAACGCUGGCGGCGUGCUUAACACAUGCAAGUCGAACGGAAAGGCCCUGCUUUUGUGGGGUGCUCGAGUGGCGAACGGGUGAGUAACACGUGAGUAACCUGCCCUUGACUUUGGGAUAACUUCAGGAAACUGGGGCUAAUACCGGAUAGGAGCUCCUGCUGCAUGGUGGGGGUUGGAAAGUUUCGGCGGUUGGGGAUGGACUCGCGGCUUAUCAGCUUGUUGGUGGGGUAGUGGCUUACCAAGGCUUUGACGGGUAGCCGGCCUGAGAGGGUGACCGGCCACAUUGGGACUGAGAUACGGCCCAGACUCCUACGGGAGGCAGCAGUGGGGAAUAGUGCACAAUGGGCGGAACCCUGAUGCAGCAACGCCGCGUGCGGGAUGACGGGCUUCGGGUUGUAAACCGCUUUCGCCUGUGACGAAGCGAGAGUGACGGUAAUGGGUAAAGAAGCACCGGCUAACUACGUG